rnacentral:rRNA from 1 species
UACGUAGGGCGCAAGCGUUGUCCGGAAUUAUUGGGCGUAAAGAGCUCGUAGGCGGUUUGUCGCGUCUGCUGUGAAAGCCCGGGGCUCAACCCCGGGUCUGCAGUGGGUACGGGCAGACUGGAGUGCGGUAGGGGAGAUUGGAAUUCCUGGUGUAGCGGUGGAAUGCGCAGAUAUCAGGAGGAACACCAAUGGCGAAGGCAGAUCUCUGGGCCGUAACUGACGCUGAGGAGCGAAAGCAUGGGGAGCGAACAGG